rnacentral:rRNA from 1 species
UACGUAGGUGGCAAGUGUUGUCCGGAAUUAUUGGGCGUAAAGCGCGCGCAGGCGGUCCUUUAAGUCUGAUGUGAAAGCCCACGGCUCAACCGUGGAGGGUCAUUGGAAACUGAGGGACUUGAGUGCAGAAGAGGAAAGUGGAAUUCCAAGUGUAGCGGUGAAAUGCGUAGAGAUUUGGAGGAACACCAGUGGCGAAGGCGACUUUCUGGUCUGUAACUGACGCUGAGGCGCAAAAGCGUGGGGAGCAAACAGG